GACGAACGCUGGCGGCGUGCCUAAUACAUGCAAGUAGAACGCACAGUUUCUGCCGUAGCUUGCUACACCAUAGACUAUCAGUUGCGAACCGGUUAAUUACGCUUACGUUACCUUCCCGAUAGCUUGGGAUAACUGUUGGUAAUGCUAGCUAAUACCGCCUGAUAUUGAUUAUUGCAUGAUAAUUGUCUGAAAGUUGCUAUUGCAUCACUACCUAAUAGCCCUGCGGUGUAUUAGCUAGUAGGUGAGGUAACGGCUCACCUAGGCGACGAUACAUAGCCGACCUGAGAGGGUGAGCGGCCACACUGGGAGUGAGACACGGCCCAGACGCCUACGGGAGGCAGCAGUAGGGAAUCGUCGGCAAGAGACGAAAGUCUGACCGAGCAACGCCGCGUGAGUGAAGAAGGUUGUCGGAUCGUAAAGCUCUGUUGUAAGAGAAGAACGGGUGUGAGAGUGGAAAGUUCACACUGUGACGGUAUCUGACCAGAAAGGGACGGCUAACUACGUG
rnacentral:rRNA from 1 species